GCUGGGACGGCCAAGGGAGGC
rnacentral:miRNA from 12 species